rnacentral:rRNA from 1 species
UACGUAGGUGGCAAGCGUUGUCCGGAAUUAUUGGGCGUAAAGCGCGCGCAGGCGGCCCGGUAAGUCAAAGGUGAAAUCCCUCGGCUCAACUGAGGAACUGCCUUUGAAACUGUCGGGCUUGAGGCCGGGAGGGGGUAGCGGAAUUCCUGGUGUAGCGGUGAAAUGCGCAGAUAUCAGGAAGAACACCCGUGGCUAAGGCGGCUCUCUAGUACGGUACUGACGCUGAGACGCGAAAGCGUGGGGAGCGAACAGG